rnacentral:rRNA from 1 species
GUGGGGAAUAUUGGACAAUGGGCGCAAGCCUGAUCCAGCCAUGCCGCGUGUGUGAAGAAGGCCUUCGGGUUGUAAAGCACUUUCAGUAAGGAGGAAGCGUUGAGUGUUAAUAGUACUCAGCGUUGACGUUACUUACAGAAGAAGCACCGGCUAACUCUGUGCCAGCAGCCGCGGUAAUACAGAGGGUGCAAGCGUUAAUCGGAAUUACUGGGCGUAAAGCGCACGUAGGCGGUUUUUUAAGUCAGAUGUGAAAGCCCCGGGCUCAACCUGGGAAUUGCAUUUGAAACUGGAAAACUAGAGUGUGUGAGAGGGGGGUAGAAUUCCAAGUGUAGCGGUGAAAUGCGUAGAGAUUUGGAGGAAUACCAGUGGCGAAGGCGGCCCCCUGGCACAACACUGACGCUCAGGUGCGAAAGCGUGGGGAGCAAACAGGAUUAGAAACCCUAGUAGUCC